rnacentral:lncRNA from 1 species
UUUUUUACAGCCAUGCCUGUGGCAUAUGUAAGUUUCCAGGCUAGAGGUCAAAUCAGAGCUGCAGCUGCCAGCCUACACUGCAGCCCACAGCCACAGCAAUGCUGGAUCCCCAACCCACUGAGGCCAGGGAUGGAACCUGAAUCUUCAGGGAUGCUAGUCGGAUUGGUUUCUGCUAUGCCACAUCAGGAACNUUAUUUUAAAGACUACCAUAAUUCAUAGAAAAAAUGGACAUGAUAUCCAUGAUUGUUUGUGUAAUUAUUACACUGUCCUCAAAUGGGUAUGUGAAAUAAAACUUAAAUAGAAUUGGGGGAGAUAAUAUGACUACCUAAUCAGCCUUUAAAAAAUCAAAAUGAAUCCUUUUUGUAAAAUAAGAGAGAUUAUCUCUCAGCCUCAGAGAGAUAACACAUAGCCUUUAACAAAAUAAGAAAUCUUUCAUAUUCCAGCUGGCGCUCGUGAAAACUUAAGCUUUUCUGAAUCUGUUUACUCAAUCCCUUCCAAAGAUAUAUAAAAUUUACCUGAUCGCUUGUUAAGAUAAUUAAGCUAAACAACACAUCUAAACCCCUAAUAGAGUAUUAGGAACUCAAGCAAAUUUGCUACAUGUACAUAAAUAUAAAACUUAGUCAGAGGGCUUCUAAUCUCUCGUCUACAAAGAACUGCUUUUGGGGGAAAAAAUCUUAAUAUUGGGUAAAUCUCGCCAACUUUCUAAUCUCCUGAAUAAAGAGAAUGAAUAAACCAUCCAUCACUGAUUUCAAACAUUACUGAAGUUCCCACCGUGGCACAGCAGAAACGAAUCUGACCAGUAACCAUGAGGUUGUGAGUUUGAUCCCUGGCCUCACUCCGUGGGUUAAGGAUCUGGCAUUGCCAUGUGGUGUAGGUUGCAGACAUGGCACAGAUCCCGCUGUGCUGUGGCACAAGCCGGCAGCUACAGCUUCGAUUCAACCCCUGGCCUGGGUACUUUCAUAGGCCAUGGAUGCAGCUCAAAAAAGAAAAAAAAAAAAAAAGAAAAGAAAAAAAAGACAUAGGCCAGUCUGGCAGAACUGCAAGGCUAGUAUGGAAAAGUGACUUGAGGAGUUCCCAUCAUGGCUCCGUGGUUAAGGAAUCCGACUAGGAACCAUGAGGUUGCGGGUUCGAUCCCUGGCCUUGCUCGGUGGGUUAAGGAUCAAGCGUUGCUGUGAGCUGUGGUGUAGGUCACAGACACGGCUCGGAUCCCGAGUUGCUGUGGCUCUGGUGUAGGCGGGUGGCCACAGCUCUGAUUCGACCCCUAGCCUAGGAACCUCCAUGUGCCGCGGGAGUGGCCCUAGAAAAGGCAAAAAGACCAAAAAAAGAAAAGAAAAAAAAAAAGUUCUGGAAAGACAGAUCAGCACAUGCAAAAAAUAUGGCAGUGGGCUCUGAUAGUGCUGCCAGGACCCAUCAAUAACAGCUCCAUAUGACUGGGCCCAGAAUGGCCACAAAGGCCAUGAGGCAAAGUAACUGGAGCGGCAGUGUCAGGACCACAUCCUGCAAACAAAGGCCUUGUACAGAGGCCCAGGCAGCUGGACUUUCUCCUUAAGGCACUGGUGGCCUAGGUAGGCCCAUGGUGAGUUCUUAGGUGACAGAUACACUACCUGCUAUUUAUACAAAAUUCCAGCAGCUUGAAGAGGAAUUUGUAUUAAAAACCAGAGAGAGAGACAGAGAGAGAUAAACAUGGUGUUACUUAUUAAAUCAUCUUCUUUUGUAUAGCAAAAGAAUGACUGUCAAGCCAUCCAAUCCAUCAACCUGAUAUGGAAGAAAUAACAUUAAAAUCUACAGGGCUUUUCCCCCAGUUCCCAUGGGAGCAGUUUGGGAUUUGGCUGAUGGAUUCAACUUCUCAGAGUGGCCUGGAAAUUUAUAAGCUUCCUCCUAAUAACAGCAAAUUCAAAUUCUGGUAGCCAUAGUGACAGGCUGUUCUAGCCCUGUCUGAAAUCUGGGAAGCGGCCAUUAGUACAAAGCCCUGAGGUGAAGGAUAAAUACUUUCUAGUGAGCAUUGGUCAAACCAAUUUACCUGUUCACACAGACAUUUAAGAUUUUAUCUAAUGUUAUCAGAAGAAUGCUGAGUCCACUUUUUAAUAAGGAAAACAAUCUUUUAAGAGAGCACUAAGGCUGAUUAGAAUACAGUAAUUUAAGCCAUGCCAAAAAAUAAAAAAAUAAAUAAAAAAUAAAAAAACCCACAAAUUAUAAAUAUAAUUAGAUCAGAAAAAAGUGGGGUUUAUUAUGGUUGGAAGCAGAGUUGCCCUAAUGUAUACAAGUCCUUCAAGGCUAUUUUAGUAUGAACUUAAUUAGAACAUUCUUUCAUAAAGAAACAAAAAUGUGUGCCAUUUCCUCUUUCAUUUCAUAUAAACACAUGGACUCAGCAAACUGUAUAGUUAACAUAUUAGAAAGGUCUAAGUGCUUUAACCAUCAAAGAGCAGGGGUGUUGCUGGCCAAGGGUGAUGGUGGUCACAUAUUUUGCAAAGCUGAACUAUCACCUAUUAACUUAAAACCCUAAAAAUAGGCUCAGUGACAGGUAUUUGAGUUUAUGAAUGAAGAGAUAAAGAAAUGAUCGAUGACACGCUGGCUGCCAUCCUGGGACACCCCCAAUGUUCCCAGGACAAGUGACUAAAGGAAACAGCAAAACAAUAUGAUUGGCAGGGCCAUGAACAACUACAUGGGGUUCAUGACACUCAUCACCGCACUUGUGAUGUCCUUUAAAAAUGUUCUCAUGAAAUUCCUUGUCAGUUUUCCAUUUGGGUUUUCUAUAAUCAAAUGCAAAAUUAAAACAAAUUAAUAGGAGUUCCCGUCGUGGCUCAGUGGUUAAUGAAUCUGACUAGGAACCAUGAGGUUGAGGAUUCGAUCCCUGGCCUCGCUCAGUGGGUUUAGUAUCCGGCGUUGCUGUGAACUAUGGUGUAGGUUGCAAACACAGCUUGGAUCCUGAGUUGCUGUGGCUCUGGCGUAGGCCGGUGGCUACAGCUCCGAUUCGACCCCUAGCCUGGGAACCUCCAUAUGCCGCAGGAACGGCCCAAGAAAUGGCAAAAAAAAAAAAAAAAAAGACAAAAACAAACAAAAAAACAAAUUAAUAAACCACACCAGGAUAUGUAGUUAUGUUCUGAAAAACUUUUUGAAACUGUAAUUAAGUCUCAUAAUCUUAUCACUUACGUCAUUUCUUAACUUACGCAUCAAGAACUAUAUGUGUACAAAAUAAUAUGUGUGUGCCUAAAAUAUCAGAUGUAUGUGUAUUUAUCUCUGGAAUAUCUAAGAAUCUGGACAACUAAACUCUAACAUCACAAGUCUUAAUCUAAUGUGUUUCAGUGGCAUUCACAAAUUCAGGAGCCAAUGAAUGCUGGAUUUAGCAUUAACCCCAUUAUGAAGCAGGUUACGUCCCAAAGGCUACCUCCUAAAGAAAGACAAAAACGCAAUAAAUAGAAUGAGUUCUGCCACAUGUUCAAUACACAUCCUAUUUAUUUGGUUCUGGUAGAUAUACAAACCAAAGCCUAUCUGAACUGCUGUUUUGCUUACAUUUGAAAGUAAAAGUGUAAACUAAUUUCAGAUGCAGCCAACAAUAGACAGAUCACCCAUCAUCUCUAAUAACAUCAGAUCUUCACAUACAGGCUUCAGAAGGAUCCCACUCAAAACAAUUAGGCAUCAUAUACUAUGUGCUUUUUAUCCCUUCUGGAUGCAAAUAUACCUUAGAAUUGCCAUUGUGUGUGUUCAUCAGUGGUUAUUAGCUACUCCACUGAAAAUUCUAAUUUGCCUUUCAAAACAUCAUUGGGACCAAAGCUGACAUCUUCCUAAUGCUAAAUUAUUUUUCUCUGAAAAAAAAAAAAAAGCACCUCCAUCACUUUCAUAUUUUUAAAUUACAGCUGUAAAAAUUUUAAAAGCACAAACAAAACACCACUACCUGCAUAUAAACAUCUAGCUACAACUUACGUAAAUAUGUUUUAAUCGUGGCAAUAAUCAAGAAAUAUUUGAAAGAAGACAGUCUUGAUAUCUUGGGUAAAUCUAAAUCAAAGAGAAAACAUCAAAACUUUCUUGUUCUUAAUGAAAGUUCACCUUAUGAUUUGCAAGUCAGAUGACUAUCAAUGAGAUGCUAGUAACUUGGCCAUAACUUGGAAAAUACAAAUUAUUAACUUGUAAAAAAUAAAGAAUAACUCUAUAUAUCAGCAGUCCUCAUUUACAUGCCUUUUUCUUACCUAUUUUUAGGACAUCUAGAACUACAUAAGAGAAGUGUUACUAGGUCAAAAAGCUGAAUUUUUGGAAUAAUACAGCAUUAAGCAUAGUGGUUUUUUCUCUGGCAGAAUAACAAAACUCUUUUCAUUUGUAAAAUAGAUAAUAAGAUCACAGUGCUCACACCUAACAGGUGAUCUUAAGGCAAAUAGGUGGUAAUUCAUGCACACACACAAAAACCUUUCAUAUCUAGUACACGAUGUUCAAUAAAUAAAUAUCUGUCAGAAGCAUUAUGACCACUUCGGAAUGACAUUAACCGUAACCGGGUGACUGUGGACAUGCAUAAGUCAUCAGAGGACCCUUUCUGCUGAAGAACAGACAGAAAGCGUCUUCCGGAGGCUCUGGAGCCCCACUCUAGAAAGCAGGGCAAAUACACUGCUUUUCAAAGUGCAGAUAACAACAGAUUUUUAGUAUAAUCUGGAAUGGAAUGGAAAAACAGUACAUCAUAGUCAAGAGUUAAGUGUAUUGUCUUGUGAAAUGCAUAUACACAGGGUCAGAAAAUGGAUUUCUGACAAUGUUGCCCAUAAACAAUUUGAGGGAGGAAGCCAGAGGGCCCUGGGAGUUUGGGGCCAGCAGAUCCAAACGAUUGCCUUUAGAAUGGAUAAGCAAUGAGAUCCUGCUGCAUAGCACAGGGAGCUAUAUCUAAUCUCUUGGGACAGAACAAGAUGGAAGAUAGUAUGAGAAAAGGAAUGCAUAUAUAUAUAUGUAUGACUGGGUCACUUCACUGUACAGCAGAAAUUGGCACAACACUGUCAAUCAACUAUACUUUGAAAAAAAAAGAAAAGAGCAAAGUAAAAACAGCGAUAACAAUUUGAAAACUGCUGGCUUUUAGACACGGGUAU